rnacentral:misc_RNA from 1 species
UUUCCGUAGGUGAACCUGCGGAAGGAUCAUUACUGAGUGAGGGCCCCUCGGGGUCCAACCUCCCACCCGUGUUUAACGAACCUUGUUGCUUCGGCGAGCCCGCCUCACGGCCGCCGGGGGGCAUCUGCCCCCGGGCCCGCGCCCGCCGAAGCCACCUGUGAACGUUGUCUGAAGUAUGCAGUCUGAGACAAUUAUUAAAUUAAUUAAAACUUUCAACAACGGAUCUCUUGGUUCCG